rnacentral:sRNA from 1 species
AGAUAUUAAAUUAAUGUUUGGGUUUUUGAAUACUCUUUUUGGGUAACGGGUAAUUUCCGGACCAAUCGGAUAUCCACGGGUUUACUAAAACUCUACCCAAUAAGGAAAUUUCCUAAAAUUUUAACCCGCCCUAACCUGGUUUUUUGGUUCGGAUAUUGGGUUGGUUAUCGGGUCCGUUUUUUCGUCAGCCCUAUCAAAGAUAAUCUAAUAUAUGCCCCAAUUAGAUCUACAAAUAUAACCAAAAUACUAUACAAAGACUAAUUCUAAGUUAGGCCAAAAAUUAGAUCCUCUAAUACAAAGGAAACAUGUUUCUUACCAAAACAAUUUGUAUACAAAUUUUACACAUUAACUUAAAACUACAUAUGUUGUAUUUAUUAUAAAAAUAACA